UACGUAGGGUGCAAGCGUUGUCCGGAAUUAUUGGGCGUAAAGAGCUCGUAGGCGGUCUGUCGCGUCUGCUGUGAAAACUCAGGGCUUAACCCUGAGCUUGCAGUGGGUACGGGCAGACUAGAGUGCGGUAGGGGGAGACUGGAAUUCCUGGUGUAGCGGUGAAAUGCGCAGAUAUCAGGAGGAACACCGGUGGCGAAGGCGGGUCUCUGGGCCGUAACUGACG
rnacentral:rRNA from 1 species